AAGGUUUCCAACUGGAGCCUAGUCCAUCUUUCGGGU
rnacentral:rRNA from 1 species